rnacentral:piRNA from 1 species
CACUGACUGAUCUUCCAGAGGAC